rnacentral:rRNA from 1 species
UACGAAGGGGGCUAGCGUUGCUCGGAAUUACUGGGCGUAAAGCGCACGUAGGCGGCUUUCUAAGUCGGGGGUGAAAUCCUGGAGCUCAACUCCAGAACUGCCUUCGAUACUGGAGAGCUCGAGUCCGGGAGAGGUGAGUGGAACUGCGAGUGUAGAGGUGAAAUUCGUAGAUAUUCGCAAGAACACCAGUGGCGAAGGCGGCUCACUGGACCGGUACUGACGCUGAUGCGCGAAAGCGUGGGGAGCAAACGGG